GCCACUGUGCUUCUACACCUGCAUUGCUUGCUGUUUGGGGUUUUAGGCUGGGUUUCUGUACAGCACUUUGAGAUAUCAGCUGAUGUACGAAGGGCUAUAUAAAUACAUUUGAUUUGAUCUGUUUGGAAAACCCUGAGUUCAUCUUUGACACAGACAGUUCAAGCAUUGUGGAUGGGGGUGUGAGGAAGGCGGGCUGGACAGUGACUACAAUGGACAAUGUGAUAGUGAAAGGCACAUUACCUGCAGGAACAUCAGCACAGGUGGCAGAAUUGGUGGCUUUGACAGAAACAUGUAAACAGGCUGAAGGAAUAACAGCUGAUAUCUACACAGACUCAAUGUAUGCUUUCGGCGUUACCCAUGAUUUUGGAAAAAUAUGGAAAAACAUGAUUAAUGACAUCACUGGGAGUUCCUGUGAAGUAUGGACCAGAGGUGAUGGCUCUACUGAAUGCUCUCCUGUGAAGUAUGGACCAGAGGUGAUGGCUCUACUGAAUGCUCUCCUGUGAAGUAUGGACCAGAGGUGAUGGCUCUACUGAAUGCUCUCCUGUGAAGUAUGGACCAGAGGUGAUGGCUCUACUGAAUGCUCUCCUGUGAAGUAUGGACCAGAGGUGAUGGCUCUACUGAAUGCUCUCCUGUGAAGUAUGGACCAGAGGUGAUGGCUCUACUGAAUGCUCUCCUGUGAAGUAUGGACCAGAGGUGAUGGCUCUACUGAAUGCUCUCCUGUGAAGUAUGGACCAGAGGUGAUGGCUCUACUGAAUGCUCUCCUGUGAAGUAUGGACCAGAGGUGAUGGCUCUACUGAAUGCUCUCCUGUGAAGUAUGGACCAGAGGUGAUGGCUCUACUGAAUGCUCUCCUGUGAAGUAUGGACCAGAGGUGAUGGCUCUACUGAAUGCUCUCCUGUGAAGUAUGGACCAGAGGUGAUGGCUCUACUGAAUGCUCUCCUGUGAAGUAUGGACCAGAGGUGAUGGCUCUACUGAAUGCUCUCCUGUGAAGUAUGGACCAGAGGUGAUGGCUCUACUGAAUGCUCUCCUGUGAAGUAUGGACCAGAGGUGAUGGCUCUACUGAAUGCUCUCCUGUGAAGUAUGGACCAGAGGUGAUGGCUCUACUGAAUGCUCUCCUGUGAAGUAUGGACCAGAGGUGAUGGCUCUACUGAAUGCUCUCCUGUGAAGUAUGGACCAGAGGUGAUGGCUCUACUGAAUGCUCUCCUGUGAAGUAUGGACCAGAGGUGAUGGCUCUACUGAAUGCUCUCCUGUGAAGUAUGGACCAGAGGUGAUGGCUCUACUGAAUGCUCUCCUGUGAAGUAUGGACCAGAGGUGAUGGCUCUACUGUAUGCUCUCCAUUUAACUGGACAAGUUGCGAUUUGAAAAUUAAAGCACAUGGAAAAAUCUUUACAGAUUAAAAGAGCUGCUUAAGGCGACUGCCAAGAGAACCUAAACUGAUUAGGAAAUAGACCUUGGACACAUUGCAAGACAUUAGAGACAUGCAAAGCAGCGCACCAAAAGAUGAAGUGUGGGAACGGAUGACUGCAGGGUGCAAACUCAAUCAAGAAGGUGUGUGGAAAUACAACCUGAGAUGUGUAGCGUCAAAUGCAUUCCUAAGGGUGGCUACUUUGAAUUAUCUAAAAAUCCUAAAUAGAUUUCGAUUUUUUUAAACACUUUUUUUGGUUACUAUAUGAUUCCAUGUGUUAUUUCAUAGUGUUGUU